GUUCUAAGGUUCAAGUUGGACCUCCCAAACAACAACAACAAUUUUCCAAGCUUAAAUUCCACAACACAAUCUCCACAAUACACGUUCAAAACUUGAACCAACAAUACAUCACACGUUCAAGUCUUGAACCCGCAACAACAAUCGGCCAAGUCCAAGUUCACAAUAACAACAUCAACAACAAAGGCUCAAAUCAAGAUAUAGACUCAAAGUGUUAGUGAAGAACAAUACUAACACUAGAAACACUUAAGACAAGUAAAAACUCGGCCAAGA
rnacentral:lncRNA from 1 species